ACACCUGUAGGUUAUUCCCAGUGAGAAUCGUGGCUAUCAUGAACCCCUCAGCAUGCAGCUGGCAGCCAUUUGCAUGUAAAUACACCAGCAGCCAAAAAGUAUAUGAGGAAUUAGGUUGUAAGGACUUUUCCCUUCUUGCUUUUCCCCACCAGGAGCUGUGCUGGGUGCUCUGGGAUAGACUGGAGAGCUGCCUGCCCCGUCUUGUUUGGAGUGACACAGCCAGGUGACUAUCGCUUGGUCUACUAUAAGAUAACUUGUGGUUAAAGCAUGCCCAGGGUUUUGUGCUCCAGGCCCUUUGCAGAUCUAAAAGAAAAUCCUUGAUGAACUGACGAACCUGGGAUAAAUUGGCUUUGCUUUCUGGGAAUAUCCACAGGGAAGAGUGCAAUGAAGUGGCUCUGAAAUAACUAAAGCCUGGAGAAGCAAAGGAAAAGGCACAUCAGCCUGAGUCUGUCCGGUGUGAUGCAGAGCGAUCUGUCAGUGGAAAUCCAUCUUCAUGGAGCUGCCUGUUGAGAGCUGCUGUGCAGUGCCCCCUGCAAUCCAGCAUCCAGGUGCUUGUGCCUGACAGUGCCUCAUCACUUGCCAAAAAGCAAGGGAGAUGAGGGAAUAAAAGUGCCAGAAAUGGUUCUAUCA
rnacentral:lncRNA from 1 species